rnacentral:rRNA from 1 species
AACGAACGCUGGCGGCAUGCCUAACACAUGCAAGUCGAACGAGACCUUCGGGUCUAGUGGCGCACGGGUGCGUAACGCGUGGGAACCUGCCCUUAGGUUCGGAAUAACUCCCCGAAAGGGGUGCUAAUACCGGAUAAUGUCUUCGGACCAAAGAUUUAUCGCCUUUGGAUGGGCCCGCGUUGGAUUAGCUAGUUGGUAGGGUAAAAGCCUACCAAGGCGACGAUCCAUAGCUGGUCUGAGAGGAUGAUCAGCCACACUGGGACUGAGACACGGCCCAGACUCCUACGGGAGGCAGCAGUGGGGAAUAUUGGAAAAUGGGCGAAAGGCUGAUCCAGCAAUGCCGGGUGAGUGAUGAAGGCCUUAGGGUUGUAAAGCUCUUUUACCCGGGAUGAUAAUGACAGUACCGGGAGAAUAAGCUCCGGCUAACUCCGUG